rnacentral:rRNA from 1 species
GACGAACGCUGGCGGCGUGCCUAAUACAUGCAAGUUGAGCGCUGAAGGUUGGUACUUGUACCAACUGGAUGAGCAGCGAACGGGUGAGUAACGCGUGGGGAAUCUGCCUUUGAGCGGGGGACAACAUUUGGAAACGAAUGCUAAUACCGCAUAAAAACUUUAAACACAAGUUUUAAGUUUGAAAGAUGCAAUUGCAUCACUCAAAGAUGAUCCCGCGUUGUAUUAGCUAGUUGGUGAGGUAAAGGCUCACCAAGGCGAUGAUACAUAGCCGACCUGAGAGGGUGAUCGGCCACAUUGGGACUGAGACACGGCCCAAACUCCUACGGGAGGCAGCAGUAGGGAAUCUUCGGCAAUGGACGAAAGUCUGACCGAGCAACGCCGCGUGAGUGAAGAGGGUUUUCGGAUCGUAAAACUCUGUUGGUAGAGAAGAACGUUGGUGAGAGUGGAAAGCUCAUCAAGUGACGGUAACUACACAGAAAGGGACGGCUAACUACGUG